rnacentral:rRNA from 1 species
GACGAACGCUGGCGGCGUGCUUAACACAUGCAAGUCGUACGGUAAGGCCCGUUCGUUGGUACACGGGUGUCGAACGGGUGAGUAACACUUGAGUAACCUUCCCCCAACUUUGGGAUAACGCUAGGAAACUGAUACUAAUACUGGAUAUGUGCUCCUGCUUCAUGGGGGUGGUUGGAAAGCGCCGGCGGGUGUUGAUGUACUCGCGGCCUAUCAGCUUGUUGGUGGGGUAGUGGCCUACCAAGGCGGCUACGGGUAGCCGGCCUGAGAGGGUGACCGGCCACAUUGGGACUGAGAUACGGCCCAGACUCCUACGGGAGGCAGAAGUGGGGAAUAUUGACCAAUGGGCGCAAGCCUGAUGCAGAAACGCCGCGUGCGGGAUGACGGCCUUAGGGUUGUAAACCGCUUUCAGAAGGGACGAAGCUUUUUGUGACGGUACCUGAAGAAGAAGCAACGGCUAACUACGUG